AUGAAGGACCGCCGUGGCUUCCCCUUCUCCAUCGGCUGCAUGUCGCAGUCCGCCGUCGCCGUCGCCGACCCGCUCGACAAGAAGGCCUCGGUGCCGGCGCUGCAGCAGCAGCAGGCCGGCAACCCCUCCUCCUCCUCCACCACCACACAAGGUUGUAGCACCCAGCCAGAGAAGCCCAAAGUGGAGACGGAGGCCGACGGAGUGCCCCAAGUGUGGGCUGAGGCUGUGAAGACCGACCCGGCCGACGUCAUCCCUCUGCCAUAUGUUGUUCCUUUCUGA
rnacentral:rRNA from 1 species